UUCAACUUGAGAGUUUGAUCCUGGCUCAGAGCGAACGCUGGCGGCAGGCUUAACACAUGCAAGUCGAGCGG
rnacentral:rRNA from 1 species